rnacentral:rRNA from 1 species
GAUGAACGCUGGCGGCGUGCCUAAUACAUGCAAGUCGAGCGAACGGACGAGAAGCUUGCUUUUCUGAUGUUAGCGGCGGACGGGUGUGUAACACGUGGAUAACCUACCUAUAAGACUGGGAUAACUUCGGGAAACCGGAGCUAAUACCGGAUAAUAUUUUGAACCGCAUGGUUCAAAAGUGAAAGGCGGUCUUGCUGUCACUUAUAGAUGGAUCCGCGCUGCAUUAGCUAGUUGGUAAGGUAACGGCUUACCAAGGCAACGAUGCAUAGCCGACCUGAGAGGGUGAUCGGCCACACUAGAACUGAGACACGUUCCAGACUCCUACGGGAGGCAGCAGUAGGGAAUCUUCCGCAAUGGGCGAAAGCCUGACGGAGCAACGCCGCGUGAGUGAUGAAGGUCUUCUGAUCGUAAAACUCUGUUAUUAGGGAAGAACAUAUGUGUAAGUAACUGUGCACAUCUUGACGGUACCUAAUCAGAAAGCCACGGCUAACUACGUG